UACGAAGGGGGCGAGCGUUGUUCGGAUUUACUGGGCGUAAAGGGCGCGCAGGCGGCGAGUUUUGUCAGGCGUGAAAGCCCCGGGCUCAACCUGGGAAUUGCGCUUGAAACGGGCUUGCUAGAGAUCGGGAGAGGAGCGUGGAAUUCCCAGUGUAGAGGUGAAAUUCGUAGAUAUUGGGAAGAACACCGGUGGCGAAGGCGGCGCUCUGGACCGAGACUGACGCUGAGGCGCGAAAGCGUGGGGAGCAAACAGG
rnacentral:rRNA from 1 species